UGGUAUUCUGUUACUGUAGUGAUGUGAUGGUUGUAUUGAUAAUACAGAAUUUGUUGUAUCACUACACACGGAUAAAAAUCCAAUGAUAGGCAUUUAGUGGAACACUGAGAACUGUAUUUUGAUUUCUCCCAAUUCAUACACUCAUGAUUUUGUAUUUAUCUAUAUAGUACAAUCUCUGUAUCCAUCUCUGUAUAUAUUCUGAAGUUUCUGUGCCUAUGCAAAAUGCAGAUAAUAGCAAAAUCAAUUAAAACGAAGGACCUCUUGCCCAAGAAUGCCAUAGGACGAUCUAGAAAAUGACAAGAGAGGACAUAUUUUGUCAGAUGUGAAUGUGAAUACUGGCCCCAUGAAUGUGAGGGCUGUACUGGCCAAAGAUUUGCAAUACAGUGGGCAACUAGGAUAGAAACAUCAUAAAGAGAGACUUAGGGUGAUUCUGCACAGCCAAAUAAUGCAGGCUGCAACUGGCAUCUCAGAACUGCCAUCCUCCUUCCGCCCAUGUCACUGCUGGCUAUGGCAGUGACAGCAUUGUCCUUUUCUCCUCCCACCUACAUUCGCCAGUCAUGCGAGAGUCAUUCAGUCAUUCGCCAGUAAUGCAAGGAGGAAAAUGAAGCCAAAGCCCUCAGGAUAAGGUAGGGCACUGUGUCACCCCAACCACCCCAGAUCCCUAAGCUGCCCAACCCUUGGGAGUGCCUGACAUUUUCCUGAAAAUGAUUUCAUUUCUCUUAAAGCUACCUACUGCUAGAUUGAGCAACUUUAUCUUUGAUUGUGUAGUGUGUAUUUUAGGCCAGCAGUUAGUUACAUGCCCAGGCCAUAUUGCAGUUCUUUUAUCAGAUCUAACCCUGAAAGAAACUUUUAAUACAUAUGUCUACACAAGGCAGCUGAUAAACAUUCUUUGUGUGCUUUGUGUUUGUCUAGAAAUGCUGACUUAUUUUGCGUACAUAAAUGUAAUAAUAAUAGUAAUGCACCAGAGCCACAGAAUAUUUAAAUAAAUGGUUUUCUAUUUCACACCAGAACCCAAGUUGACAAUGUACAUAAAAACAGAAAAUCAAUCAUAAUAUUAUGGGAGGGGGAUUAAACCAAUUAAACUAUUAAAAUAACAAUAAAUUGAAAUCAAUGUAUUAUUUUAAAACAAUUUAAAUGGAGGAAAGGGGGCCGUUUGCAUGCUGGAUGGGGCUGGCCCAUGACGGGUAGGGCCUGAGAGAGGCGGGUUCAGAAGGAGGCAGGGCAGGACCUGCGUCAUCCUCAGGCUGUCCUCCCAGCAUAAGGACGGGGCUGCUUGCCCCAUUCUUAUGUAGGGAAGAAGGUGGGACAUGUGGUGACUGCCCCACUCAUCCCCCCCCAAAUCCUCGGGCUGACCUCUUGGCAUUAUGCCAGGAGGAGGGCGAGACAGGUGGUGGCUGAGAGUGCUCUGGAAGGCUCUCAGCCACAACAUGCCUUCCUUGAGCUGUCCUCCUGGCAGAAGAAUGUGGCACUCACUCUGUCCUUAUGCCAGGAGGAGGGUGAGACACGUGGUGACUGAGAGCACUCCAAAGGGCUCUCAGUUGUUGCAUGCCUUCCUCCCCCAUCUUUUUGGCAUAAGGACUCAGCGAGCCACCGUGUCCUUAUGCCAAGAGGACAGGAAAAUGAGAAGGGCCUGAAGCAAGCGCCCAAGGGGCCGCACCGGCCUCCGGGCCUUAGUUUGCUUAUGCCUGAUUUAAAACAUAACAAAAAGGGAGAACAUAAUACACAUGCAAAAAGAGCCAUUUUGCAGCAGCCAAUUAAUGACUUAAAUACUGUCUAAAUAGCAAUGUCUUUGCCUGCUGGCAGAAGAAGAGAGGACCAUAAGGAGGAUUUCCACAGCCUCAAAGCAGCCCCUUUCACAUGCCUCUGGAAAUACUAUACCAAGAAAAAACCUAGAAAACAUAUUUAUCUAUCAAAGUGUAUGUUGCAACUAUACUUAUAGGAUAGAUUGUGUUUUGAAUACCUCUAUAUUAUCUUCUUUUGAACUAUUGCUUUUAAUUCAAAUUUGAUAAUGACCCAAAAAAAAGCUUUCUUUUUGAAAACAAUGUAUUGGUUUUAUCAGAAUGAGUGAAAAUCUUGUGUGUGUGUGUGUGUGUGUGUGUGUAUAUAUAUAUAUAAUUUACAGUUCUUUGAAAUAGUGUUCAUGCUAUUGCUUAAAAGUCCCAUUAAGUAAAGAUGUUUAGGUUAGGUAGUUUUACAUAAAGUAAGCAGCUUGCUUUUUCCUGCUCGUCUUCCUAUAAUGUGGCAUAGUUCAGUGAAAGCAUACAUUACCUAAUACACCAGGGGUAUAAUUUCAGCUCUCUCGUCCUGUAUUUAUUGACUUAGCAAACUACUGCCAUCCUCAUUCUAUUUUUAAACACUUGAUUUGUGCCUUUCAGUUGGGUUUAUUCUUCUAAACCGCAUUUUUUGUGUAUUCAGCUGAAAGAGUGCAAACAUAUUUUUCUAUGCCUAUGGCAAUUUGUUUGCCUAGACCUCAAUUACAAAAUUAACAGGGCAGAUUUCUGUUGCCGUUGUCAUUGGGUUCUUUAAACCACAAUUUAAACCUCUAAUAAAGUCAAACAUAUAAACCAAAGCUGUAGGUACUGGUUUAUUUCAUUUAAUUUUGCAAAACAACUAUAGGUUCAAAAUGUAUCACUAAAGGCAAAACAGGAUUGAAACUCGUCAGUUUAUUUAUCUUUAUUUCGUCAGUUUAUUUAUUUAUCUUUCAGCAGAAUUUGAUGCAACAGAUAAAGAAACAGUUAAUAGACCAAUGUAUAGCUAGCUAAACUAGGUAACUAAUGAAUAUUAAAACAAGCAACCCUGUCCACACCCCAGUUAAUGCUAAGUAUGUAGAUUAAGAUGACUUAGUCCCAGCAGAAACAUUCGAUAUUUGUAGUCAGCUUCUAGUGAAAAUAGAGAUUUUUAAUAGCAUUAGUGUGUUUGUUUUUUUAAAAAAUCAUGAAGUAAAAGCUACAAACCCCAGUGUAAAUGCUGUACUUUGGAUGCCAGAGAAAUGCGGCUGUACCAUUCAAAGGCUUAAGGGCUGGCUGGCUUGGGGACAUUGCUUUUGCAUGCCAAAUUCAGUAGAAUAUAUGCCCAGCUUUUGUGUGUGCUGAUUUCUCUGGGCUUCUGUAGCUUGGGUCUAAAGCCAAGUACUGGCAGAGUAUCCAAAUUCAAGAUCAAGCUUGAGUCCCAUGGCUCUGCGGCAGUCAGGCCUGGUAGGAUGGUGGAGUCGGCACACAAAGCCCUUCGGGAACUGCAACGUAUCUCCUAACUGCCUCGACCCUCAAUACUAAGUUGGAUCCCAACUGGUUUCUGGAAGUGAAAAUGCCACUUUAUUCAAGAUAGACGGGAUAAAAAUGCACAGAGAAAAUUGGAUUUGAGAAAACAUCCCAUCCUCCUCCUUUUUUUACUCCAUUUUAAACAGCAGGAAAGUGAAAAGGAAAACUGAAGAAGAAUGGACGAGAGCCUGGAUUUGGAUUUGGGAGACUGAAAACAAAACCCUUAAGAGAUCAUAAAUUACACUUGUAUUAUCUUGUGACAUUGCUGAAAUAAAGCCCUCGCAGCAGAACUUUUUGUGGAAAGAGCAAAAAGAUGACAGAACAUGAGCCCCACACAUGGUCAGAGUGAUUUUUAAUAACUUUAUCCAUUUAGUGCUGGGAUAAGCUUCCACCAUCAUGAAUGGGUGGGGGAGAAUGUCUUUCCUGACAGCUUACCUUGCUUGGUUUGCCACAGAUUGUAGCUGGUGUAGCAUCUGAUUUAAGAAUACUAUCAGAUAGCUCUUAACUCAUUCCUUACAGACUUCAAUACAAAAAGCUCCCCAUGGGCAACUCUUCAAAGCAGCCCCAAAGCCUUUCACAGAUAAAGGUUUAUGUUGCUUUGGAGAGGAGGAGUGUGUCCUCUGGCCCAAAUUAUUUUAGCAACAUACCAAACUGUGUGCUGAUUAUAAAAUGAAUAUUAUUUGGAGCUAAUCCUCUGGGAGUUUACCCAACUCAGUACUGAUUUUAAGACCCCAUUCUUUCUGAUGAAUGGUAAUUUGUGCAGAAUCUGUACAUAUAUGAUAUUACAUCUGAUGAACCAAAGAAAGAUCUGGCUAUGACAAAACUCUGAUGAACUUUAAAAACUGCAUGGCCGUGCAUUUAACUAUCAUGUGAAAAGCUAUAACUGUUUCAUUACAAAUGUCUAAUAGUACACUGGUUUACACAAUAUAUGUGCCACUGGGCUAUGAUAUUAAAAGCUUAGCUGGAGCAACAAGAUUUCCAGAACAGUAUUGCCAUGAACUGCAGGAGCAUUUAGUAUGAGACUUCAUUAUGUUGUGAAUAAUAUGACAGAGUUCUGUGUCACAUCCAUUUAGGAAUUCAGGACAAGAAAAGAACAAAGGCUGCAGACCUGAAGGAAACACCAAAGACUACCAUUAUUAUCUAUGCAGCUGCCUUUAAUGCUUCCUGGGUAGUAACAGUGCCUGUGCUGAAAAGCAUCUUACUAUUGGAUUUACCUGAUGAACAUACUUUUAAGUAUAAUGUGUACUCACCAGGAAGAAACAAACAUCCAGGCAUCUAUUCCCGUUUUGAAGAUUAAGCUAAAAUAGGACAGUGCACUGCAAGACAUUCACUGAAAUCAAGUGAGAUUUUUCAAUUGACAGAACUUCUUCUGCUAGAGUAGACAGAGGAGAACAAUUCUCUCUUUCCCUUAUGUACCCACAAAACCUGCUUUAAACAAUGGGUACUGUUUUUAGACCCUGUAGGGUGGGAUGGGGGGGGGGGCUGAAGGUCUUACAAAUCUAAGACUUAACAACUGAGGGGUUGAUACUGUGAGGCUGAAAGAGCAAUCCUCUACACAUGGGUUAAUAACCCCUCCUGCCAACCAGUUCAAGGCAGGAUCCUCAGACUUCUAAAAUGUUCCUUCCGUUGCUCUAGUCCUGCUCUCCUAAUUUUUGUUAUAUAGCCUUGCUCACCACUCUUACGGUUCAGAAAGAACUGUUUAUUCCCUGGAUGGGAGUGGAUUGCUCCUUCAGCUUCACUAGAAUGAUCCUUCAUGUUAUCAACCUCUCAUUCUCAGUGAGGCUUAAGGAGCAAUCCACUAUACGUGGGAUGUACCCAAGCCACCAUCUCCAGGGCAGGCCUGACUACUGGACUCAUUAACUACCAUCUGACUGUCCGCCCAAAGGCUGCCUAACUAGAGCUGAUUUUUUCUACUUUGUCUAACAAAAGUAGGUGACUACUUCCACCCAGCAGCCUUACACACAUCUUCCUUUGAAGCUGCCAUUCUAAAGGCUGUCAUUCUCACCAGAGAUCUGGUGGAGUGAAAAGCAGGUUAGCAAACCAAGCUUCAAUUUGUCUAAAAGUUGUAGUUCAUGAGAACACUUAGGAAUAAUCUUUUGGCUUCUGAAUCUGCUUCCAUUUAGCUUUCUUAACCAUACAAUGAAUCAAACCCUGGCUGUGCAAUGUGGGGAGGGGGAGAGAAAAUGAGGGAUGUGGAGUCCAAGAAUUUAACCCUUUCCUUCCUGGCUGCAAAGUCUGGACCCUUUCUCUCCCUUAACAGCUGUGACUCAAUGCUAUGGAAUUCUGGGAACUGGGGGCACCAGCACUCUUCGGCAGAGAAGGCUAAGGACAUUGUGAAAGCACAGCUUCUAGGAUUCCAUAGCAUUGAGCCUUGGCAAUUAAAUGUGCAUCAAAAUGUAAACCCCACUGAAAUCUGAAUGAAGUUUUGAUUUCAAUGAGAAUUGCUCCCGAGUUAAGUCUGUCUCCAGCUCCCAGUGCCUCUAUACUUUGGAAUGCAUGCAGUUUGAAACCCCUAUAUGUGUCAUGGGUCAAUGCUGUGGAAUACUGGGAGUUGUCUUUGGUAAGACAUCAGGACUCUUGGGUAGAGAAGGAUAAAGGCCUUGUGAAACUAUCAUUGCCAGGAUUCCUUAGCGUUGACCCAUGGCAGUUCAAGUGAUGUCAAACUGCAUGAAUUCAAAAGUGUAGAUGCAUGGGGAACUGGAGGCAGACGUAUGCAAGAGUAAAUCCCAUUGAGAUCAAAACUUCAUUCAGAUUUCAAUGGGAUUUAGAGUUUGAUGGCUCUUUUAAUUGCCAUGCUAUGCUUUCAUUAAUAAAAUUAAUUAAUAAAAGCAAAGGUUUUAAAUAGACUGAAAGAGAGAGACAGAAAUGUUCAGCUGUUUGGCAAGACCAGAAUUUAAAAACUGAGGAGGAAGGAAGCACAGAGCAGCAGACACCAUUAACCCCUGUGUAGCAUGUUUAUAAAGUUAUUGUCCUUUCAACUCUAUUGUAUGUCUGUGAAACAAAGACCAUCCACAAAUACCACUUAAUUUUUGAAAAGAUUCCAUUAGUGUUGCCUUCAAAAAAUCCUGCAAAUCUCUUGGGAAGACAGGCGGACAAGUGUCAGCGUUUUGAAAGAAGCAAAGGCCACCAGCACUAAAGCAAUGAUUUUCCACUAUCAACUUCGCUGAACUGGCCAUGUUAUCUGAAUACCUGAAUAUCACAUCUGAAAGCAGUGAUUUUACUCUCUGCUUAAGAAAGCAAAAAGGAAUGUGGGUGGGCAGCAAGAGAGAUUUAAAGAUGGACUUAAAGCUAACCUUGAAAAAAUGUGGUUGAAACACAGAGAACUGGAACUGGAAGCCCUGGCACUCGAGUGGUGUAACUGGCAGCCAGCUGUUGCCAAAAGUGCUAUGGAUUACACAAAUACUGGGUGAGAGGAGGAAAUGUGCAAAGAGGAAGGUGCAUCAAGCACACCCUUGUCGUGACCACCUUCCCUAUGGAAAUCUAUAUCCUCAUUGUGAAAGACCAUGCAGAAUAGGUCUCUACAGUCACUUACAGACCCAUUGCCAAGACUCUACCCUUGGAAGAUAAUCACACUUGGCCACAAAGGAUCGUCCAUGAUAAGUGGAUUGUUCCUUAAGCCUCACUGAGAAUGUACCUUAUCAAGGACAGACACUUUUCUGGUAAGAAGAAACAGAGACAUAUUUUUGAAAGAUAAUUGUGUUUAUUUUCUAAGCCUUUACCUGUGAAUAUAACAAAUGAAUAAUUGAAUGACUUGAUAUAUAGUGACUUCUUUACAAAAAUGUUUUCCCCUAACAUCUGGACAGCAAUAUAUAAAUAUUUACAAUGAAAAAAUAGGCAAGGAAAGAGAAAUAAGUAGUUUUCAUUAUUCAAAUUAAUUUCUAAUACAUAAGAUUUGAACACAAAAUACUUCAUUCACAUCUAUUCAGUAUUUACAUGUUUCUUUACUUGAUAGCACUGAGGUUUUAAUUUUAUUUUCAGAAUCUGUUGUAUGUUACUUCUGCUAUGUUUUUAAUAUGUUUUGUAUAGUAAUUUAAAAAAUCUGAAAAAAUAAAUCAUUGUUUUGAAAAUGCUGAAAACACUAAUGUGUGUAUACUCUUAAGUGAUUUUUCUCCCCCGCACAGUCAGAUACAUCACAACACUGGAAAAAACUGUUUUCUGGUAAAAUGUUAAACAAAAGUGGUUUCCAAGCUGGAAAAAAAAUUACAGCCCUGCUUUGUAUGAAAGAAAAUGUUACUGUUUGGAAGUAGAUAAAAUGUCUUAGGAUAAAUAUUAAAUUACUGUGAAAUGUGCUUUAGGGGCCUCAAAUAAAAUACUGCGAUUUGCUAAUGAAUUAACCAAACAAACUGGAAACAAAACCAUUUAGCAAUACUGAUAGUUAAAUAUAGAAACUAAGUCUUGUUGCUUUCUGCACUAGUGUUGCACAAACACAUGACUGAAAACAGGUCGCUUGCAAUAAUGACAAACAUCCAUUGCAUGCCAUUUGGUUUUAGUAUGCCAACCUUGACGGCCACAUCCAACAAUGGUUAACUUCAGUGAUCCUGAUUACAUUCUUUGCAGACAGGUUUAUAUACGUGAAUUAUGUCGCCCUCUAGUGCCCAAAGACAUCCUGAGCCUGGGUUCCCGAGCUUUAUAGUGUUCAUUGAAAUCCAAUCUAAAGCUAAGAAAUCGAAGGCUUUCAUCAGAACUGGUGGUCAGUAACACUAAGAACUGCUGAACGAUGCCCUGG